GGAGAGGUGCUCGAGUGGUUGAAGAGGCACGCCUGGAACGCGUGUAGGCGUCACAAGCGUCUCGCGGGUUCGAAUCCCGCUCUCUCCG
rnacentral:tRNA from 3 species